rnacentral:rRNA from 1 species
UAGCAAUACGAUGGAAAGUCUAGUGGCGAACGGGUGCUUAACACGUGGGCAACCUGCCAGGAAGUGGGGGAUAGCUCGCCGAAAGGCGAAUUAAUACCGCAUGUGAUUAGAGAGGACAUCCUUUCGAAAUUAAAGUCGGGGCAACCUGACGCUUCUUGUGGGGCCCGCGGCCUAUCAGCUAGUUGGUGGGGUAACGGCUCACCAAGGCUUUGACGGGUAGCUGGUCUGAGAGGACGACCAGCCACACUGGGACUGAGACACGGCCCAGACACCUACGGGUGGCAGCAGUCGAGAAUUUUUGACAAUGGGGGAAACCCUGAUCGAGCGACGCCGCGUGGAGGAUGAAGGUCUUCGGAUUGUAAACUCCUGUCAUUGGGGAACAAGGCGCAUACGUUAACUGCGUGUGCAUUGAUAGUACCCGAAGAGGAAGAGACGGCUAACUCUGUGCCAGCAGCCGCGGUAAUACAGAGGUCUCAAGCGUUGUUCGGAUUCAUUGGCCGUAAAGUUUGCCAAGGCGGCGCGGUAAGUCGGGUGUGAAAUCUCGGAGCUUAACUCCGAAACUGCAUUCGAUACUGCCGUGCUUGAGGACUGGAGAGGAGACUGGAAUUCACGGUGUAGCA